AGAGUCUGACGAUCGGUCUAUAUGCAGGAAUCAACAUUACAGACAUGUGAUCAGAGUAUCCGAGGUGGGGGUGGUGCUCCGCCCGGUACGCACCGGAAAUGUUUGUGUAAACGAGAUCCAGCGCGUUCGCUCCUCUGGUUGCAAAGUUUACAUGUUGAUGGAAUUUAGGUAGUACUGACUAGAGAUUUGCGUGGUUGAAGUCUCCGGCGACAAUAAACAGUCCGUCUGGAUGAACGUUCUGCAGUUCACUAAUCGCUCCAUACAGCUCUUUGGAGAGCUUCUCGUGUGUUUGCGCUGGGUAGAAUGUAUAACGCGAUUAUAAACGAGGUGAAUUCCCGCGGUAAAUAAAAAGGUCUGUAUCUGACAAUAGCAAACUCUACAAGCGGUGAGCAGUACUUAACGACAAGCACAGAGUUUUUACAGCAAGACUCAUUGAUAUAAAUGCAUACUCCUCCGCCGCGUGUUUUGCCGGAGAGUGCAUUGUCUGUCGGCACGGAUUGAGACUAAUCCAUCCAGAUGAAUGGCGGCGUCUGGAAUACUGUCGCUGAGCCACGUUUCAGUAAAGACUAAAACAGCAGUCUCUGAACUCUCGCUUUGUAGUCUGCUGGAGUUUGAUGCAGUCCAGUUUAUUAUCCAAGGAGCAGACAUUUGAAAGGAAUAGAGAUGGUAGAGCUGGUCUGCUAGGAUUAGCUUUUAGCCUAGCACGGACCCCAGCUCGCUUCCCCCGCUUCUGCUUCCUUGCACACCGCUUGCGGUGUCUCCCCCUUCGGCAUUUGGACUUAGGCGACGCCGUGGUCUGCAAGCCUGGUACGCAUAGCAACCCGAGCUCACAGAGCGUCUGAAGCACGCCGUCGUCCAGCCCAGGGAGGACUUAGAUCACACAUGGCCAGCGAUACAUGAUAAGCACACCUACAUGUCUUCAUCCAGCUGCCACCUGAAGCCAUAUAAACUCUGACAGGGUUAAAAAGUUCCCCUGCCUGUUCAUCAGAUCAUUCCAUUGGACAUUGCAUGAUGGCAGGGAGGAUUGUUCUUGACCAGCUUCCACCUCCACAAUUUUUUGAUGAAUUACAGAAAUUCCCAUUGAGGCUCCUUCACAAAUCUCCAAGUUUAUUACUUUACAACAAACCUGUAAAGUUUAUUACUUUACAACAUUUAUCUUAUGAAAAAGAUGGGUACUUAUGAGUAUAUAUCUUAUGAGUACUGAGAUGAAGUACUACAGAGGGUAGACUUGUAGCAUACUAUGGUGGCAUUUAUGUUCAUGGAGUCAGUUAUAUUCAUCUUAUUUGAGUGACCUAACGAAGUUAUUUAGCAACUGAAUCACAGUUUCACCCAGUUUCCACAGCCUUUCACAAAUAUAAUUCCUUUCAGUUUGAGUUGCAUAACUGAAGUAAAUAGCUUUGUUAGUGACAAAUUACAUCACCUAUAUUAAAAUGCUUAUAUAAAAUCAAGGCAAAUACAAACAACACAAAAACCAUCACAGGUACAGAUUGCAUACUCAAACUCCACACAGGAAGCAGCUAGUCCAUGAACCAAACCCAGGUUACUGGAACUGUGAGGCAGCAGUUUUAACCACUGCACCAUCACGCCAAGCACCUUUAGUUCAGUAAAUACUUUGUUUCUUAUUUAUUGCAGUGCAAACUGUGGCACAAAUCAGCAAAGCUAUAUGCUUUCUUAAAAAUAUUUUUAUGUACAGGGUGCCAUAUUGUAUUGAAAGGAGAGCUCACAGAUACGGAAAUGUCUGUAUGCUUUUCACCCAUGUCAUGUCAUGACAUUCGGACUGAUUAGCUAUACAAAUGGACGAUUCAAACAUGCAGUUUGAAUCUUUAUCCAUGCUUGAUUUUUUAAAUUGCACAGUAUAUAUGCUUAACACAAUAAAAAUAAAGUUUUUCUACAUGGGGAACAAAUUGUUGACUGCACUUUCUUUAAGUAUGUUUACUUAUACCUAUUCUACUUGUCCUUGGAAGAAAGAGUUUAAACAGAUUAGUUAGAUCAUG